GGAUAACAGGCUAGUUCCGCCUAAGAGUUCAUAUCGACGGCGGAGUUCGGCACCUCGAUGUCGGCUCACCACAUCCUGGGGGUGGAGAAGCUCCCAAAGGUUUGGCUGUUCGCCAAUUAAAGUGGUACGCGAGCUGGGUUCAGACCGUGAAGCAGCAAAGUCAAAGGUCAAAAAUCAAAAGUUCAAAACUGAAACUCAAGACCGGGUCAGUCGCGAUUACUUUUGCAUUUUGCCCUUCGAGUUUUUACUUUGCGAUUUCACAGUCUGAAUCCCGAGGUUUGGAUGAAUGGUUCCCACCAUUCAAAUGUAACUUGUUCACGGCGGUCCCAAGAAGAAAUUCUCGGUGACACAGUUAACUUAUAUCGGUGAAGCCCGGAUCACAGGAAUGUGACCGAGGUAACACCUAGGGAAUAUCCGAUGUAACGUCGGGUUGCCCGUAGAGACUAAACGUUAACUAUCCUCCCGCGAAAGCGAAGGGUAAUCAUAUAGUCCAUUCCGCAGAGCAAUCUGCGAAAAGAAGCGUGAGACAGGUUGGUCUCCUAUCUACUGCAGGCGUUGAUACUUGAGGGGAAUUGACUCUAGUACGAGAGGACCGAGUUGAACGAACCUCUGGUCUACGAGCUGUCCUGCCAAGGGCACCGCUCGGUAGCUAUGUUCGGAUCGGAUAAGCGCUGAAAGCAUAUAAGCGCGAAGCCGGCCCCAAGAUUAGGUAUCGUUUGAGACCCGUGAGAGAUGAUCACGUUGAUAGGCGUUAGGUGUACGUGCCGUAAGGCAUUGAGCCGAGACGUACUAAUCCGUCGAUCCUAUUAGGAAC
rnacentral:rRNA from 1 species